rnacentral:lncRNA from 13 species
UGGAAAUUGCAGAACAGAAAGUCGACCCAAAAAUGAAACAAAAUAAACUCUCAACCUACGUGCCUGGGAAUUUGGUUACUCAGGUCUACAAUUGAAGGCGUGUGUAGCCAUCGAAUCCAGUGAAGCCUUCUGCCAGCAGGGUGAGUAAGCUCUGCCUCCUGCCUUCUACCCUCUGGCCCGCGAUUUUAGCUCCUCUUUGACAAUGGCAGCAGAAAGCCCUGGGAAGGUGAAAAACUCUUCCAUUACCAAAGGUCAUCUGAUUCUGCCUCAGUUUUCUUCCAUGUGACACUGAAGAACAUUGCAAAAUUAGGUAAAAAUUCUAAGUUGCCCUUCAAAUAAAUAUUUGAUUUAAUUAUUUACA